UUAUUUCCUGUCCUAACACCUAUAAUAAAUGU
rnacentral:piRNA from 1 species